GUGGUGGUAGCGUAGUGGCUAAGGAGCUGGGCUAGCAUGCCAUAGGUAGAAAAGUUGUGGGUUCAAUUCACGGCUUCCACA
rnacentral:tRNA from 1 species